rnacentral:misc_RNA from 1 species
GGCAAAACUAAGAUGUUGCGGAGGGAAGUAGCGAGCAAGGACUUAAUAGCGCUAUAUCUGGUGGGAUGAUGGAAACAAAUCUAUAUAGCUGGGCCCCACCUAGUUUGGGAAUAAGGCUUAGUUGAAUAUUGUGAAUUCUGGAAAAUUUAACUAAUAUUUGAAGAAUAGGAUCAAAUAAUGAAUUAAUGAAAAUGCUAAACACCCUGAAUUUUAAUCCCAACUUAUUGGGUAAGUACAUUAGUUUUUUAUUUGCUUCUAUGUAAAGGAUGUCCCAUUAUGAAUCCCUGACAUUUAUAUCUUUUCUCUGGGCUCCUAAUUAUGUUUGGAAUAUAACUAUUUAAUGAAAAUGGGAAGUUAUUGUUUGGUUUGUUUUAUUAUAUUCUCACUCCCCUUCCGGCCCCCGG